rnacentral:rRNA from 1 species
GAUGAGUGCUAAGUGUUAGGGGGUUUCCGCCCCUUAGUGCUGCAGCUAACGCAUUAAGCACUCCGCCUGGGGAGUACGACCGCAAGGUUGAAACUCAAAGGAAUUGACGGGGGCCCGCACAAGCGGUGGAGCAUGUGGUUUAAUUCGAAGCAACGCGAAGAACCUUACCAGGUCUUGACAUCCUUUGACCACUCUGGAGACAGAGCUUUCCCUUCGGGGACAAAGUGACAGGUGGUGCAUGGUUGUCGUCAGCUCGUGUCGUGAGAUGUUGGGUUAAGUCCCGCAACGAGCGCAACCCUUGAUUUUAGUUGCCAGCAUUUAGUUGGGCACUCUAAAGUGACUGCCGGUGCAAGCCGGAGGAAGGUGGGGAUGACGUCAAAUCAUCAUGCCCCUUAUGACCUGGGCUACACACGUGCUACAAUGGAUAGUACAAAGGGUCGCGAAGCCGCGAGGUGGAGCUAAUCCCAUAAAACUAUUCUCAGUUCGGAUUGUAGGCUGCAACUCGCCUACAUGAAGCCGGAAUCGCUAGUAAUCGUGGAUCAGCAUGCCACGGUGAAUACGUUCCCGGGCCUUGUACACACCGCCCGUCACACCACGAGAGUUUGUAACACCCGAAGUCGGUAGGGUAACCUUUAUGGAGCCAGCCGCCGAAGGUGGGACAGAUAAUUGGGGUGAAGUCGUAACAAGGUAGCCGUAUCGGAAGGUGCGGCUGGAUCACCUCCUUUCUAAGGAA